rnacentral:rRNA from 1 species
GGUUGCGAUCAUACCAGCACUAAUGCACCGGAUCCCAUCAGAACUCCGCAGUUAAGCGUGCAUGGGCGAGAGUAGUACUAGGAUGGGUGACCCCCUGGGAAGUCCUCGUGUUGCAACCCC